rnacentral:rRNA from 1 species
GAUUCCUACGGGAGGCAGCAGUGGGGAAUAUUGGACAAUGGGCGAAAGCCUGAUCCAGCCAUGCCGCGUGAGUGAUGAAGGUCUUCGGAUCGUAAAGCUCUGUGGGAAGGGACGAAAAAGCGUGACCUAAUACGUCUCGCCUUGACGGUACCUUCUUAGCAAGCACCGGCUAACUCCGUGCCAGCAGCCGCGGUAAUACGGAGGGUGCAAACGUUGCUCGGAAUUAUUGGGCGUAAAGCGCAUGUAGGCGGUCCGCUAAGUCGGAUGUGAAAGCCCUCGGCUUAACCGAGGAAGUGCAUCCGAAACUGGCGGGCUAGAGUACGGAAGAGGGUUUCGGAAUUCCCGGUGUAGAGGUGAAAUUCGUAGAUAUCGGGAGGAACACCAGUGGCGAAGGCGGAAACCUGGGCCGAUACUGACGCUGAGAUGCGAAAGCGUGGGGAGCAAACAGGAUUAGAUACCCUGGUAGUCCACGCCGUAAACGAUGAGCGCUAGGUGUUGGGGGUAUUGACCCCCCCAGUACCGCAGCUAACGCGUUAAGCGCUCCGCCUGGGGAGUACGGCCGCAAGGCUAAAACUCAAAGGAA